rnacentral:rRNA from 1 species
GAGUUUGAUCUUGGCUCAGAGUGAACGCUGGCGGUAGGCCUGACACAUGCAAGUCGAACGGCAGCACAGUAAGAGCUUGCUCUUACGGGUGGCGAGUGGCGGACGGGUGAGGAAUACAUCGGAAUCUACUUUUUCGUGGGGGAGUAACGUAGGGAACGUUACGCUAAUACCGCAUACGACCUACGGGUGGAAAGCAGGGGAGUCUUCGGACCUUGCGCGAUUGAAUGAGCCGAUGUC